CGUUGAGUAAAUAAGGUAAAUGGGAAUAUUUACAUCGGUAGUUCUACUAAUUUACAUGUUAGAAUGUAUACAUAUUUUAGUUUACGUUCUCUAGCAAAAAGUAAUAGACCUAUUGAUAGAGCUCUUUUAAAACACGGGCAAGAAAAAAAAAAAGUAAAAAAAUUCGAUUUUUUUAUUUUUUUUUUCUUCCUAACUUUAGAUUAGAAAUCUUGGAAUACUGUUCCUAUGAAGAUGUACUUAAAAGAGAGCAAUAUUACUUAGAUCUUUAUAAACCUCAUUACAAUAUAGCUACAGUCGCAGGGUCUACUUUAGGAUAUAAACAUUCUCAAGAAUCAUUAGAAAAAAUGAGAAACAUUAUUCUAAGUGAUGAAGUAAGAGAAAGAAAAAUUCUUUCUACUGUUAAUGCUUCAAUAGCUAAUAGAUUGCCUAUUAGUGUUAAAAAUAUCAUAACUAAUGAUGUGACAAAUUAUGCUAGCAUGACUGAGGCUGGUAAAGCACUAGGUGUGACAAGAGCUACAGUAAGUCAAGCAUUGUUGCAUAAUAGACUAAUUAAAAAAACGUAUUCUAUCUGUAAAAUUAAAUAAAAACUUCAAAAAAAAUAAAAUUAUAUUAUCUGUUAAAUGGAUAGUAGUAAAAUACUAUUUAGGGAGAAAAGUCUCAGCUCGGCCUAACUUGAAAUAAAUAAAAUUUAACGGCCAAAGAGAUAAUUUGUAUCGUUGUAAAGAUAUCCAAAGAACUGUGGUAAGUUAGUGAAAGACAAUCCUGACUACUAUAGCUGGUUUUCCGCGAAACAUAUGUAAGUAUGUAGUUUAAAUAACAUCAUAGCAGGUACAGAACUGUGAUCUCGGACAAUUUGUGCAUUAAUAUCCUAUUAGGGUAUAUAAUGCCUUGUGCAUAUGGGGGGGUCGUGAAGACUCUAUUCGCGAGUAUUUGCUCUCGGAAGGGCAAUGAUGAGUGUUGAACUAUCAGACAUUUAACGAUAAGGUUGUGUGUCAAAAGGGAAACAGCCCAGAACAAGUGUUUAAGGUUCCAAAGUUUUUGUUAAGUGAAAGUAAGGAAGUAUUUAAACUAUACAACCAGGAAAUAGGCUUAGAAGCGGCCAUUUUUUAAAGACCUCGUAACAGAGCACUGGUUCAAAUGGUUAAUUCGUUAACCUAAUUAGUUAAAAGCGCCGAAGAUAUAACGGAUCUAAAACAAAACACCGACACCUUGUCCAUAAUAAUUAUAUUAGGUAUAAUCCUAGUUUACUAUACUUAAAGGUUAUUUAAGUAUUAUUUAUGGGGUAGCGGAACAUUGGGUAAAUAGGUUUUAAAUAGAUAGUACUCCCUCUCAGAAUUAGGGGUUGGUCUUUUAUUAAUUUAUAAUAACUGACUAUAUAGUUACGUCUAUUUCAUAAUUACAUUUGUAAUUUGCUCGCUAUAUAGCGGGUUACCAUACAUAUCCCAAGUGAGAAUGCUGACACGAGUAACGAAAAAGAGAACUUAGUAUAACACUACUUUGUAAAACGUUCUCUCGCCUUAAGCUUAUGGGAAAGUUAAUCGGUCUCUAAAUUAAACCUAAAGGAUAAAAUGAUGAGGAGAUUAUAUGUGACAACAUAAAGAAAUUGAGUAAAAUGUUCUGGAAAAGCAUAUAAUAUACAAGAAAGGAGAAAUUGUUCUAGGUUAUAAACUAAAAAGAAGAUACUAGUUUCCUUGUAUAUAGUAAAACCGUACCUAAAAACUACCACAAGUAAGCUAGUAGAGAAUACGAAGGCGUUUGAGCUAACAAUCAUUAAGGAACUCGGCAAAUUGACACCGUAACUGAGGGAGAAGGUGUGCCAUUCCUACUGAUUAAUAUCAGUUUAGGAAGAGGAGACAUAAAAUGGUGUUGCACGACUGUUUAAUUAAAACACAGCACUUUGCGUAAGAUGUAAAUCAAUGUAUAGAGUGCGCUAUCUGCCCAAUGAUGGCUGGUUAACGGAUUUACUUAGACGACUAAAAUAGGCUAGGUUUUGAAGGAACCCCCAUUUAAUGGCGGCCUUACCUAUGAGGGUCCUAAGGUAGCGAAAUACCUUGGCAUUUAAAUGAUGUCGCGCAUGAAUGAUCUCACGAUGCAACAGCUGUCUCAAUGAUUGGCUCAGUGAAACUGGAAUGGCAGUGAAGAUACUGCCUAUCUCUAGAUAGACGAGAAGACCCCAUGCAGCUUUACUGUUACUAGUUAUAGGGUAUAAUUUAACAGGUUUUAGGGAAUAAGGUAGUUGAGCGACAAAAUUGAAACACCUUUACUCUGGUUGUUAUAUCAGUAGAAUAGGUUACAUUAUUGUAACUGACGUCUGAAUGUAAUCCAUAAAAGGAGGGAGAUUAUAUCAAGCUCAGGAGACAAUGGCUAGCAGAUGGUUUAUGCGGGGCACAGAUCCCAUAAAGAGUACCUGGGAGUAUCCAAAUUUAUUUUUGUAAUAUGCUAUACGCAAAUUAUAUAGGGCUUUUAUUAAAUAAUUGCCUUGUAUAUUUUAAUUUUUUAAUUACUAUAUUUACUUUGUUAUUUUUUAUAUUUACUUUUAUAAAGUAUCUAUAACUAAUUCAGUUAUAUUUCUAUUUAAGUUAGAACUAAAACAAUUUAAUAUAAGUAAGAUUUUACCUAUGUGGAAAAUAGGUGUAUAUAUAGUAUUAAUAAUUACUAUCUAAUUGUAAAAGAAGAUAUAAUUAUAACACUAUUAGUUAUUUUUUUUACAGAAUAUCUGUAUAAGAAAUGAUGUUGAUAUAUACUUCCAAAGUUUAAUGGCUUAAUCUUGCUUUACUGUUUGACAUACACGUCUAUCAGUUGCGUAAGCAGGGCAUAAAGACCGCAAGACGCAGUAAGGAAAGGUCUUGUAUUAUUGAAAAAGCUACGCUGGGGAUAACAGGCUAAUUGCGCCAGAGAGUACAAAUU
rnacentral:rRNA from 1 species